rnacentral:lncRNA from 1 species
CGGUGGUGGUGUGGUGGUGAGAUGGUGGUUCAAUUGGCUAAAAGUGGUGGAUGAGUGGAAGAAAUAUGAAGAAAAGAAGUGAUUUAAGUGGUGAAAUGGGAGAAAAAUGAGAGAAAGGGGAGAAGCAAGGAGGAGGGGCGGCAAAAAGAGAGGUGAAGAAUAGAAUGAAGCGGCUAAAAGAGAGAUGGAGAAUAAAAUGAACAAAAAAAUAAAAGUGUUUCAUGUGUCUAGGUGCAUUGGACGAUUAAGGUACGGUAAGGGAGGUAAAAUGGCAUGGAAAGAGAAUCUUGGGAGUGAAAAGGAGGUUAUUG